rnacentral:rRNA from 1 species
AGGAUAAACGCUGGCGGCGUGCCUAACACAUGCAAGUCGAACGCGCUUUCGGGCUUCGGUGCGAGAGCGAGUGGCGGACGGGUGAGUAACACAUGGGUACCUACCUUGGAGUGAGGGAUACCGGCGAGAAAUCGCCGACAAUACCGCAUAGGCUUCUUCACAAGGGAAGCAAAGUGACGCGAGUCACGCUUUGAGAUGGGCCUGUGGCCGAUUAGCUAGUUGGGGGGGUAACGGCUUCCCAAGGCGACGAUCGGUAGCUGGUCUGAGAGGACGAUCAGCCACACUGGGAUUGAGAACGGCCCAGACUCCUACGGGGGGCAGCAGUGAGGAAUUUUCCGCAAUGGAGGCAACUCUGACGGAGCAACGCCGCGUGCAGGAGGAAGGUUUUCGGAUCGUAAACUGCUUUUCUCGGGGACGAGCAAGGACGGUACCCGAGGAAGAAGCCCCGGCUAACUACGCGCCAGCAGCCGC